GGAUUUGAGUUGGGCAAUGUCUUGGACGCAGUACCUGUUGUGAUGGACAAGAGAAGAAAUUGCCUUUGGCUGGGAAGAAGCAGGAUUAAGCUUCUCUAGCCCCAGCUCACUAAUAGAACACAAGUCCAGCUGUGCAUUAACCUCGGCAGGAGAGGCGUGGAUUGUACUGUGUACCUGGGGGUGUGAAGAAACCCAGCCAUCAGAGGGGGAAAGAAGAAAUGAUGAAGGCUGGGAUAAACCAAUCUUUAAUGAACUUAGACCCAUUGUACACACCCUAAUGCUAGCCCUCCCAGCAGCCCCGUGAGGAAGUGGCUGUCAUCCCACUGGACAGACAAGGUAAUGGGGCCUGGAGAGGUCAAGCAGGCCAUCCAAGAUGGCAGAACCAGGGCCGAGAGCCGGAAUGGAUCCAGGUCCCACUGCCCUUCCACAGGGCCAGCCCUCCACUGGUGAGCAGAGAUUUAAAGGAAAUAUGUGG
rnacentral:lncRNA from 12 species